rnacentral:rRNA from 1 species
CAUGCAGUCGAGCGCGAAUGGAGCAAUCCUAGUAGAGCGGCGCACGGGUGCGUAACACGUGGGUAAUCUGCCUGGGUGUCUGGGAUAACCAGUCGAAAGACUGGCUAAUACCGGAUAAGCUCACGGCCUCUUCGGAGGCAGUGAGAAAAGGUGGCCUCUGUAUACAAGCUAUCACACCUAGAUGAGCCCGCGGCCCAUCAGCUAGUUGGCGGGGUAAUGGCCCACCAAGGCAACGACGGGUAGCUGGUCUGAGAGGACGAUCAGCCACACUGGAACUGAGACACGGUCCAGACUCCUACGGGAGGCAGCAGUGGGGAAUUUUGCGCAAUGGGCGAAAGCCUGACGCAGCAACGCCGCGUGUGUGAUGAAGGUCUUCGGAUUGUAAAGCACUUUCGACCGGGACGAAAACCCCUAGCCUAACACGCUGGGGCUUGACGGUACCGGGAGAAGAAGCACCGGCUAACUCUGUGCCAGCAGCCGCGGUAAUACAGAGGGUGCAAGCGUUGUUCGGAAUUAUUGGGCGUAAAGCGCGUGUAGGCGGCUUUGCAAGUCGGGUGUGAAAGCCCUCAGCUCAACUGAGGAAGUGCGCCCGAAACUGCAGAGCUUGAGUGCCGGAGAGGGUGGCGGAAUUCCCCAAGUAGAGGUGAAAUUCGUAGAUAUGGGGAGGAACACCGGUGGCG